UACAGAGGGUGCAAGCGUUAAUCGGAAUUACUGGGCGUAAAGCGUGCGUAGACGGUUGCGUAAGUCAGAUGUGAAAGCCCCGGGCUCAACCUGGGAAUUGCAUUUGAGACUGCGUAGCUAGGGUGCGGAAGAGGGAAGCGGAAUUUCCGGUGUAGCGGUGAAAUGCGCAGAUAUCGGGAGGAACACCAAUGGCGAAGGCAGCUCGCUGGGACGGUACUGACGCUGAGACGCGAAAGCGUGGGGAGCAAACAGG
rnacentral:rRNA from 1 species